CAUAUAAUAAUAUCUUACAUAAAAUAAUAUCUUCAUAAUACUUAAUUGGAAAUCGUCUAUUUUACCACCAUAUUAUUAUAAUUAUUAUUUUUUCGAAAGAAUCGUAAUCGAUUUUAAUUUUUUCAUUAAAUUGUAGGUAAAUACGUGUUUUUUUUUUUUAAUUUAUUUCUAGCUUACAUAUAAUUUAUGUUGGUCAGCAUUUGCAUUCUAUUAUGCAUAUAAAAAUAUAUCUUCUACAUACAUUGAAUAUUAACAAACAUAUAUAUUUUAUAUUUUAUAUCUUGCGUUUCUUUUUUAAAGAUAUUAGCUCUUUCUCAAGUUCUGAACGGUCAUUCAACAAUGGUUUAGUCUUCUUACUUAAUUCAGCCAUCAACUUUUCUAAUACUACUUCCUCUUUUUCCUUAUUUUUCGAGUGUUUUUCAGCGAGUUCCUCACAUUCUUGGAUAUCUUUUAUACUUUUUUCUGGGACUCUAUACAGUUCUUCUAAUUUAGAUUUUUCCUAUAGAGAAUAUUUAAUUAUUUAUUUAUUAUAAUUAAUAAUUAGUAAUAAAAUUAAUAAAAUAAUUAUCCUAAUCUUUUUUAUAAGGAUAAUAAAAUAAAUUUUACUGUUUUUAAAGAUGCAAUGUUAGCUUUUCGUCUUUUAUUUGUUUCCACUAAUUCUGCAUGAAGUGAUUCGUCAUAUUUUCGAAUUUUAUCAAAUUCUGUUGCAAUUUCAUCCUUGCGUUUCUGUAAAUUGUUCCAUGUUGCACUUUUUUCCUUAAUCACUUUGUUCUUCUGCUCUUUAUCACGAUAAAUUUCUUCCAUUUUGUUUAAGAGAUCUGAUAAAUCUUUAUCCAUUUCAUUAAUUUUAUUUUCCUGUUCCAUAAUUUCUUUUGAUGUUUCAAAUCUAAAAAAAUUUGUUGUAAAACUCAAGCACAGUAUAGUUUUCAAGAUAGUUUACCUUUGAUAACAAUAAAGUUGAUGCUGUAAUUUCGUAAUUGCAUUUUCUAAUUGCAAAUAUUGAAUAGCUUCUUGCAUGGGUUCUUCAAGAGCUGCUUUCUCUUUUUCAACAAUUUUAAGGCGGUUUAAUUUCUCCACCCUAUGUUCUGAUAAAAGUUCUAUUUUGUUUGAUAGUUUUUCUAAUGGUUCCUUAUAACGAACUGUUCCAAUUAUAUCUUCCAAAAACUCAAGCAUACCAGUAUCAUUUUCAUUUUGUGCCUUAGGCUUCAUCAUUGCUAUUUGUUCAACUUCGCCCUAAUAAUAUAAUAUAAUGUAAUAUAACGUAAAAUUAUAUAUUGUAAAGUAAUAAAUAAUAAAAUGC
rnacentral:misc_RNA from 1 species